UAUAUGGUAACCUGAGCUAGAUGAUAAUUUAUGUUCCAGUGCUGAUAUUAAGAAGAUAAUUUGGAAAAUUUUGACCUUUUCUUGAAUCGUCAACCAAAAGCAAAGUACUGAGCUAUCAGCCAUUUAUCCGUUUUCAUGGAAAAUUGAGAUGCUGAACAAUCAAGAGCCAUUGAAUUUAAGCAAAACGAAUAAACGGGUUUGUCAUUCUCAAUCGAAAAAUAUCACAAUACAUCACAGAGACCGCCAAAACCAUCGUCAUUUCUCCAACAUAAUUGACCCAAACUUCGUUAUCUAGACCCAAAUGAAAAAAAUAUAUAACACACACACACACACACACACACACACACACACACACACACACACACACACACACACACAUGACACACACAAUAUCUUCCAUUAUUACUAAUAACGAACACUGUACCCACUUACAUUAUCAUCAAGCGCAAUCUUCAACCUAGAUUCAGCUUCCUGGUUCGCGUGCUCGAGCUUCAAGAUUCGACACACGAGAGGCAAUCGCCAUGGAGGUGAUUUUACGCGCAAGAUCGAGCUGAUCAUAUGGAUCCGUUGGAAUCACCGCCAAAAUCUCAUCCGGUAGAUUGAAAUCAGGCCCACUGCUUUGCGACAUACUCGAUCUAUCUCCAAGAUUACAGACAGAGAGGUGGUAGGUAGAGGAUUCAACAGCAGGAAUUAGACAGACAAGAAUCCGAAGAGGAAAAUUAGGGCUUACCAAAAACGUAAAAUUUUCUACGACAACGAAUAUCUUGCGAUGGAUCAAUUAAUUGACGCACGCUCUUUUGUUCAUUUGUUUGGUCUGAUUUUCAAAUUCGUGCUUUGAAUUGGAGUAGGUAGAAUCGUUCUAUAGGUUCGAAAUUCUAUAUGAAAAAAGGGGAAAAAAAAUAGGGGGGCCUUUUUGUUUUUGUUUUAUCUCAUUUUUUGAAUUUGUAAGCUUUUCCCUCCAAAUUGGCUUACUGCAUUGCCAAACACACUCAUUCCAUUCCAUCAAACUAGAAGAGUCUAUUGCAUUUCUA